AUUAUCUAUUUUAUUAAUUUUAAUUAAUCAAGUAUAAAAUUAUGUCUUAAAAUUAAUAUAAUAUGUUAGCCAAUAAUUGAUUUUUUAGGUCAUAUACCUAACUAUCUCUCACUUGACCUAAAGUCAAUCUGUCCAAAUCUAAGUCUCACUUUCUCAAGAUGGACUUCAGUCUUUAGCUAGCUAAAUAGCAUUGUCAGUGGAUGCACCACAUUAUUCAUGGGGUUUACUCUCUUCAGCUUGGCAUCUUCCUUAUCGAGGU
rnacentral:lncRNA from 1 species